rnacentral:sRNA from 1 species
GACAUCGCCAAACCUCGCCCAGAUUCAGGCGUGUAAACCAGCCGGAGCGGCGCGGCAGCGGCAGGACCGCCGUGGCGCCUAGAGUAGCGACCCGGGGGGAGCGCGGGGCGACGCUGGCUGCAGGGACCCGGUGACAGCGUGAGAGGUACUAGGUUUUGACAAGCUUGCAUCAUGCGUGAGUAUAAGCUAGUCGUUCUUGGCUCAGGAGGCGUUGGAAAGUCUGCUUUGGUAAGUCAUUCUUACUUUACCUAAGCCUUUCACUCCAAGACGUUCUUUUUCUGUUGAGUUUUAGGUUUUGAUGAUUUGUCUUUGUUAAGAUAAAAUUCCUUAAUGACUUUAGAAGCAAUAUAAUAUUUUUCUUGUAAUUUUAUUCAACUUUUAAUUAUAUCUGGGUGGAUCAUAUUCUCUCUGGAACAUUGACUCCAGAAUGACACGAGUUAUGCUGGAAUACAAUUUGAGCUAAGCACAGAGAUUGAGAGCGUACAAAUACAUGUCUUUUUGCAUUCGCAUUUCAGAGCCAGAUAGGAAUAAAUUUUGGUCUUUUUAUUUAUUUAUUUUUUUGAAACAGGGUCUCACUCUGUUGCCCAGGCUAGGGCUCAAGUGAUCUCAGCCUCCUGAAUGCUUGGGACUUACAGGCACGUGCCACCAUGCCAGGCUAAUUUUUAAAAUUUUUUGUAGAGAUGGCGUCUUGCUAUAUUGCUUAGGCUGGUCUUAAACUCCUGGCCUCAAGUAAUCCACCUUUGCCUCCCAAAGUGCUGGAAUUACAGGCAUAAAUCACCAUGCCUGGCUUGCUCUUUCUUCUUAUGAAUAGUCUUACCCUGUACAUUUUAUGUUAGAAAAUAUCAAAGCUUAUAAAAAGUCUUCAAAUAUUACCUUUGACUGUCCAGCUUUACAUUUUUUAACGGCAUGUUUUCUGCAUCAAGGAAUGGUAUAGCAAGAAUGAAGACAUAAUGGGGUAAUGAGGGUUGGGAAAGAGGAAAAACGUAGGGAAAAUAAUUUGAUGAAUAGUUCAGAGCUUAGCAAAGCCUCACAAGCAAAUAGAUUGACCUUCUGUCUCACUCAUAAGAUAAACCAUCUUGGCCACUUAGAAAGGCUACCUAGCUGAGAAGUGUCAUGCUUGGAACAAACUGAGAAGUACAUACAAUGUGAAAUGAACUGCUUUUUCAUUUGUAUCCAAAGUGAUGGGGAGGUCAGUUGAUCCUGCAUGUAUGUGUGUAUACAUAACAAUUAGUCAAUUUCUAAUUUAAGAAUCAAAUUUAAGCUCUUAAGACUGAAACAACGCCGGCACAGUGGCUCACGCCUGUAAUCCCAGCACUUUGGGAGGCUGAGGCGGGCGGAUCACCUGAGGUCAGGAGUUCGAGAGCAGCCUGGCCAAUAUAGUGAAACCCCGUCUCUACUAAAAAUAUAAAAAUUAGCCAGGUGUGGUGGUGCAUGCCUGUAAUCCCAGCUACUCGGGAGGCUGAUGUGGGAGAAUGGCCUGAACCCAGGA